rnacentral:lncRNA from 11 species
GCUCAUUCCAAGUCAGACUAUACCUCAAAUCUAGGCCUUUCCCUGAAAAAUUGGAGUUUCCUUUCCUUUCUAUAAAGCCUCCACAGCUGUUCCCCAUCUCUCUGGGUUCGGCUGGUUGCCGUUGCUUUGAAUUAUUAAUGCUCCUGGCAGCGGCCCUCUUAAUUUGCAGCUUCUCUGGCGUUCCCCCAAGGCCAGCUUUUAGAGAGCUGGUGUGGGGCUUCAUGUUUUUUUGAAAGCCUAGGGAUCCCACCACGGCAGCAAUGCAGCACAGGCAAGGAUUUUGUCCAGAGCGGUCGGGAGCCUUCGAUGUGCUUCUGUCCACGGGGCUCUAAUUAAUGUCAGGAAGCCCAGCUUAUUGGCAGUGUCUUGAGACCGGCUUGUCUUCCUUUGACCAGGACGCGUUGAUUGGGACUUAAUUUGUUUAGCCAGAAGAGGAAGGAAAAGGGAGGAGAGAAAAGCAAAAGCUUGCUCCUGUAACUGCAAACAGACUUCGUUUGGUUUGUAUUUGGAAAUGAAAUGUGAGGCUUCAGAGUCAACACUGGUUGGGCUGUAAUAAGAACAACAACAACUUAUAUACUACAUUUAUUUCAAUAAUGGAAUUCAAGGCAGUUUGCAAUAUAUUUGAAAGCGAUUGCAUGAGCAAGGCAAGUCCUCUCCAUCUGGAGAAAACACACAAAACAGAACAUUUUUACCAAGCUUUUUCUCCCCCCAAGGCAUCAUACGGUGCUAUGAAAACAGUAAACUCAGAUUUUAAAGGUCUGCUGAUAAAUAAUAACCACAGUCGGAAGGAAGCGCUGGGAAAUCCAGUAAUUGGUGAAAAGAGGAGGAACGCAACAUCCAGCGAACCCCAAAAGCUUUCUCAAAUAGUGAAAUGUUUUAACUAAACAUCUACAGCUGAACAACAAGAGAAUGAAAACCUUCUGCAGAAGACAGAUUCACAGCCUGGAGGCCAAAACAGAGAGAUCCUGUCUGGUGUAAGAUCUCAUUCAGGAUGGAGCCAAACCAGAAGAGUUUAUCAAAAUAUAUGGGUUGAUUGCUUAGCAGGUGAUCAGCCCUGCCUUGAAGGCAUCACAGUGAAAACCAUUAUUUGGAGAAUCAGACUCAGGACAAAAUGGGAACCAAUAAAGAUGAGUUGAACUCAAAUAAAUUGUACUGAAAUGUGAUGGUUGAAGAAAGA